rnacentral:rRNA from 1 species
UUGAACGCUGGCGGCAGGCCUAACACAUGCAAGUCGAGCGGUAGAGAGAAGCUUGCUUCUCUUGAGAGCGGCGGACGGGUGAGUAAUGCCUAGGAAUCUGCCUGGUAGUGGGGGAUAACGUUCGGAAACGGACGCUAAUACCGCAUACGUCCUACGGGAGAAAGCAGGGGACCUUCGGGCCUUGCGCUAUCAGAUGAGCCUAGGUCGGAUUAGCUAGUUGGUGGGGUAAUGGCUCACCAAGGCGACGAUCCGUAACUGGUCUGAGAGGAUGAUCAGUCACACUGGAACUGAGACACGGUCCAGACUCCUACGGGAGGCAGCAGUGGGGAAUAUUGGACAAUGGGCGAAAGCCUGAUCCAGCCAUGCCGCGUGUGUGAAGAAGGUCUUCGGAUUGUAAAGCACUUUAAGUUGGGAGGAAGGGUUGUAGAUUAAUACUCUGCAAUUUUGACGUUACCGACAGAAUAAGCACCGGCUAACUCUGU